rnacentral:rRNA from 1 species
CCUACGGGUGGCUGCAGUGAGGAAUAUUGGUCAAUGGGCGAGAGCCUGAACCAGCCAAGUCGCGUGAAGGAUGAAGGAUCUAUGGUUUGUAAACUUCUUUUAUAUGGGAAUAAAGUGAGGAACGUGUUCCUUUUUGUAUGUACCAUAUGAAUAAGCAUCGGCUAACUCCGUGCCAGCAGCCGCGGUAAUACGGAGGAUCCGAGCGUUAUCCGGAUUUAUUGGGUUUAAAGGGAGCGUAGGUGGAUUGUUAAGUCAGUUGUGAAAGUUUGCGGCUCAACCGUAAAAUUGCAGUUGAAACUGGCAGUCUUGAGUACAGUAGAGGUGGGCGGAAUUCGUGGUGUAGCGGUGAAAUGCUUAGAUAUCACGAAGAACUCCGAUUGCGAAGGCAGUUCACUGGACUGCAACUGACACUGAGGCUCGAAAGUGUGGGUAUCAAACAGGAUUAGAUACCCUUGUAGUC